rnacentral:rRNA from 1 species
AGAGUUUGAUCCUGGCUCAGAUUGAACGCUGGUGGCAGGCCUAACACAUGCAAGUCGAGCGGUAGAGAGAAGCUUGCUUCUCUUGAGAGCGGCGGACGGGUGAGUAAUGCCUAGGAAUCUGCCUGGUAGUGGGGGAUAACGUCCGGAAACGGACGCUAAUACCGCAUACGUCCUACGGGAGAAAGCAGGGGACCUUCGGGCCUUGCGCUAUCAGAUGAGCCUAGGUCGGAUUAGCUAGUUGGUGAGGUAAUGGCUCACCAAGGCGACGAUCCGUAACUGGUCUGAGAGGAUGAUCAGUCACACUGGAACUGAGACACGGUCCAGACUCCUACGGGAGGCAGCAGUGGGGAAUAUUGGACAACGGGCGAAAGCCUGAUCCAGCCAUGCCGCGUGUGUGAAGAAGGUCUUCGGAUUGUAAAGCACUUUAAGUUGGGAGGAAGGGCAGUAAAUUAAUACUUUGCUGUUUUGACGUUACCGACAGAAUAAGCACCGGCUAACUCUGUGCCAGCAGCCGCGGUAAUACAGAGGGUGCAAGCGUUAAUCGGAAUUACUGGGCGUAAAGCGCGCGUAGGUGGUUUGUUAAGUUGGAUGUGAAAUCCCCGGGCUCAACCUGGGAACUGCAUUCAAAACUGACUGACUAGAGUAUGGUAGAGGGUGGUGGAAUUUCCUGUGUAGCGGUGAAAUGCGUAGAUAUAGGAAGGAACACCAGUGGCGAAGGCGACCACCUGGACUAAUACUGACACUGAGGUGCGAAAGCGUGGGGAGCAAACAGUAUUAGAUACCCUGGUAGUCCACGCCGUAAACGAUGUCAACUAGCCGUUGGAAGCCUUGAGCUUUUAGUGGCGCAGCUAACGCAUUAAGUUGACCGCCUGGGGAGUACGGCCGCAAGGUUAAAACUCAAAUGAAUUGACGGGGGCCCGCACAAGCGGUGGAGCAUGUGGUUUAAUUCGAAGCAACGCGAAGAACCUUACCAGGCCUUGACAUCCAAUGAACUUUCUAGAGAUAGAUUGGUGCCUUCGGGAACAUUGAGACAGGUGCUGCAUGGCUGUCGUCAGCUCGUGUCGUGAGAUGUUGGGUUAAGUCCCGUAACGAGCGCAACCCUUGUCCUUAGUUACCAGCACGUCAUGGUGGGCACUCUAAGGAGACUGCCGGUGACAAACCGGAGGAAGGUGGGGAUGACGUCAAGUCAUCAUGGCCCUUACGGCCUGGGCUACACACGUGCUACAAUGGUCGGUACAGAGGGUUGCCAAGCCGCGAGGUGGAGCUAAUCCCACAAAACCGAUCGUAGUCCGGAUCGCAGUCUGCAACUCGACUGCGUGAAGUCGGAAUCGCUAGUAAUCGCGAAUCAGAAUGUCGCGGUGAAUACGUUCCCGGGCCUUUAAUGACCGCCCGUC